rnacentral:rRNA from 1 species
ACUACGGGAGGCAGCAGUGGGGGAUAUUGCACAAUGGGGGAAACCCUGAUGCAGCGACGCCGCGUGUGGGAAGACGGUCCUCUGGAUUGUAAACCACUGUCCCCAGGGACGAAGAUGACGGUAUCUGGGGAGGAAGCUCCGGCUAACUACGUGCCAGCAGCCGCGGUAAUACGAAGGGAGCGAGCGUUGUCCGGAAUUACUGGGUGUAAAGGGAGCGUAGGCGGGACUGCAAGUUGGGUGUCAAAUCUACCGGCUCAACCGGUAGCCGCACUCAAAACUGCAGUUCUUGAGUGAAGUAGAGGCAGGCGGAAUUCCGAGUGUAGCGGUGAAAUGCGUAGAUAUUAGGAGGAACACCAGUGGCGAAGGCGGCCUGCUGGGCUUUUACUGACGCUGAGGCUCGAAAGUGUGGGGAGCAAACAGGAUUAGAUACCCCAGUAGUC